rnacentral:lncRNA from 1 species
GCUAGAUAGACAGGCAGUCAGCUGGCUUUCAGAUCUUGUCCUUGUGAAGGAGGAAGCAGAAGAGCCAAAGCCCAGUGAUCUGGGUGUUGGAGUGUCAGGCCCUUCCACUGCCAUUGCUGCAGGGCAGCCCUGUGGGGAAUCCCAGGUCACUUUUGUUUAUUGGACUCCUGAACAUUGCCCCAUUCAGUCAGAGAAAGUCCAUUUUCAAAACCAAAAUAGCCUUUUAAAAAAAUUCCUCCUUCUGACCAGGUUUGCCCAUGGACCCACAUGGGCACAGCUCUUUAUCUGCUCCUUAGCUCAUUACUGUCCCUACAGGGCAGUUCUCAUUCCUGGCUUCUGCCUGAAAUUAUCUGUGAAGCUUUUUUUAAAAAAAUAUAUGCCUGGUUUGGGGGGUGAGUUUGGACUCUGUGUAUUUUUAAAAGUUCUUCCGGUGAUUUUAGUACUCAGCUUGGCUUAAGAACAUCUGCCUUGAAGCCUCAAACAAAAGAAACUUUUUUAACACAGUUAGUCCUAGGUAACAAAGGGAAGCUGCAAAUGAAUUUAUACUAAAGGGUGGGUGGUUGCUAGCCUAACUCUCUUGAUUUUUUCAUGUUAAAUAAUUGGUAGAAUUUUCAGCUGUGCAUUUCAGCUGCCUAGUUGGGUAAAGAUGAACGAUCCACUUUGUUGCAGGUGCAUGGAUUUUCUCCACCUUUUCAAGGCUCUUGGUGGUAGGGACUCUGUUUUACAGCUGGGUUCAGUUGCUGAUAGAAAUAUUUGACAUUCACUUUUUACAGUAUUUGACUAAAUACUUCAAAUAUAAAAAUAAAUAAGUCAACACGAAUGAGUCAGAGUCUCUAAUAGCUUCAGAAUAAUGUGGCUUGUACUAAAUGUUAGCUGCCAUUGUUAUUGUCAUUAUGACCAAGUUACUGUGCAUUCCAACC